UAAACCACAAUCGAAAAUGAGAAGCAUCUCUAUAAAAACAUUGCAUUGUUUCGAAAGCUUGUUUUCGGCUUUCAAAAGUAGUGAACAGAGAUCAGCGUGAUGGCGUACGAAUUCGACUUUGAGUCACUGUAUCUGAUAUGAGAGAGCGGCAGUUUCUAAAGUUUGUGUACUUCCAAAAAGGUGUGGAACAUUAUUCGAAACUAAUUUUUCUAUUUUGUUUGACACGGUUAUUUCGGUGUUUGGAUUUCAUUGACUUUAAAUACCGAUAGAGCGUACGGAAACUGCAUCACACUCGUAAAUUGUUGCAUUCAGAACAGUACUCUCGCGUGAAACAUGAACCUGUUGCUACUACUGUUCGCUCUGUUUCUAAUCUUUUCACAAACAUUGGCUAUGUCGUCGCAGAACACGGUUCCGAAUGAUGAGAGCUUGGAAGGAAUCUUGAAACGAUCAGCGCAACGCGGUCAUAUGCAUAAUCCGUCACGAAGAUCAGCCUACCAGGGGAACAGAGAUAAUAAGAAUGGAGGAAUGACUUGGGGAGGUAGGUAUCCUGGCCACUUCGAUACCGGAAAAUGAGGACCAUCAUUUGAGGCGUCACCUGCACGCUAGUUACACUCGCUGUUAUUGAACAUGGAAAUCUAUGGGACAAGGCAAAUAAAUUAAUAUCAAUCGUG